GACGAACGCUGGCGGCGUGCCUAAUACAUGCAAGUAGAACGCACAGUUUAUACCGUAGCUUGCUACACCAUAGACUGUGAGUUGCGAACGGGUGAGUAACGCGUAGGUAACCUGCCUGGUAGCGGGGGAUAACUAUUGGAAACGAUAGCUAAUACCGCAUAAUAUUAAUUAUUGCAUGAUAAUUGAUUGAAAGAUGCAACUGCAUCACUACCAGAUGGACCUGCGUUGUAUUAGCUAGUAGGUGAGGUAACGGCUCACCUAGGCGACGAUACAUAGCCGACCUGAGAGGGUGAUCGGCCACACUGGGACUGAGACACGGCCCAGACUCCUACGGGAGGCAGCAGUAGGGAAUCUUCGGCAAUGGACGAAAGUCUGACCGAGCAACGCCGCGUGAGUGAAGAAGGUUUUCGGAUCGUAAAGCUCUGUUGUAAGAGAAGAACGGGUGUGAGAGUGGAAAGUUCACACUGUGACGGUAUCUUACCAGAAAGGGACGGCUAACUACGUGCCAGCAGCCGCGGUAAUACGUAGGUCCCGAGCGUUGUCCGGAUUUAUUGGGCGUAAAGCGAGCGCAGGCGGUUAGAUAAGUCUGAAGUUAAAGGCUGUGGCUUAACCAUAGUACGCUUUGGAAACUGUUUAACUUGAGUGCAGAAGGGGAGAGUGGAAUUCCAUGUGUAGCGGUGAAAUGCGUAGAUAUACGGAGGAACACCGGUGGCGAAAGCGGCUCUCUGGUCUGUAACUGACGCUGAGGCUCGAAAGCGUGGGGAGCGAACAGG
rnacentral:rRNA from 1 species